rnacentral:rRNA from 1 species
GUUGUGGUGAGGGUAGUGGGUAAAGAAGCGCCGGCUAACUACGUGCCAGCAGCCGCGGUAAUACGUAGGGCGCGAGCGUUGUCCGGAAUUAUUGGGCGUAAAGGGCUUGUAGGCGGUUGGUCGCGUCUGCCGUGAAAUCCUCUGGCUUAACUGGGGGCGUGCGGUGGGUACGGGCUGACUUGAGUGCGGUAGGGGAGACUGGAACUCCUGGUGUAGCGGUGGAAUGCGCAGAUAUCAGGAAGAACACCGGUGGCGAAGGCGGGUCUCUGGGCCGUUACUGACGCUGAGGAGCGAAAGCGUGGGGAGCGAACAGGAUUAGAUACCCUGGUAGUCCACGCUGUAAACGUUGGGCACUAGGUGUGGGGGCCACCCGUGGUUUCUGCGCCGUAGCUAACGCUUUAAGUGCCCCGCCUGGGGAGUACGGCCGCAAGGCUAAAACUCAAAGGAAUUGACGGGGGCCCGCACAAGCGGCGGAGCAUGCGGAUUAAUUCGAUGCAACGCGAAGAACCUUACCAAGGCUUGACAUGCACGGCGGCACUGCAGAGAUGUGGUGGCAUUUAGUUGGUCGUGUGCAGGUGGUGCAUGGUUGUCGUCAGCUCGUGUCGUGAGAUGUUGGGUUAAGUCCCGCAACGAGCGCAACCCUUGCCCUAUGUUGCCAGCACGUGAUGGUGGGGACUCGUGGGGGACUGCCGGGGUUAACUCGGAGGAAGGUGGGGAUGACGUCAAAUCAUCAUGCCCCUUAUGUCUUGGGCUUCACGCAUGCUACAAUGGUUGGUACAGAGGGUUGCGAUACUGUGAGGUGGAGCGAAUCCCUUAAAGCCAGUCUCAGUUCGGAUUGGGGUCUGCAACUCGACCCCAUGAAGGUGGAGUCGCUAGUAAUCGCAGAUCAGCAACGCUGCGGUGAAUACGUUCUCGGGCCUUGUACACACCGCCCGUCACGUCACGAAAGUUGGUAACACCCGAAGCCCAUGGCCUAACCACGUUUGUGGGGGGAGUGGUCGAAGGUGGGAUUGGCGAUUGGGACGAAGUCGUAACAAGGUAGCCGUACCGGAAGGUGCGGCUGG